rnacentral:rRNA from 1 species
UACGAAGGGAGCUAGCGUUGUUCGGAAUCACUGGGCGUAAAGCGCACGUAGGCGGAUGUGUCAGUCAGGGGUGAAAUCCCGGAGCUCAACUUCGGAACUGCCCUUGAUACAGCACGUCUUGAGUCCGGAAGAGGUGGGUGGAAUUCCUAGUGUAGAGGUGAAAUUCGUAGAUAUUCGGAAGAACACCAGUGGUGAAGGCGACUCACUGGCCCGAUACUGACGCUGAGGCGCGAAAGCGUGGGGAGCAAACAGG